AUUUAUUUAUUUCAAAAUCCAUUGCUUUUAAAUGUGUUAGGUUGUCAAUUCAUUGUGAAAUAAAACCGGAAAAACUUCUCUUAGUAAGUAUAAAAUACGUAAA